CAAUCCAGGUCGGUUUCUAUCUAUGCAGUUGUUUUCUUUAGUACGAAAGGACCAAGAAAACAGGACCACUGUCAGCGACACGUCCUAAACACAAGGCUGAACACAACUAAAGCCAAAUAACAAAUAUACGCCCGUAGACUUACGGGGACUUA
rnacentral:rRNA from 1 species